rnacentral:rRNA from 1 species
GAUGAACGCUGGCGGCGUGCCUAAUACAUGCAAGUAGAACGCUGAAGGAAGGAGCUUGCUCUUUCCGGAUGAGUUGCGAACGGGUGAGUAACGCGUAGGUAACCUGCCUGGUAGCGGGGGAUAACUAUUGGAAACGAUAGCUAAUACCGCAUAACAGUAGAUGUUGCAUGAUAUCUACUUAAAAGGUGCAAUUGCACCACUACCAGAUGGACCUGCGUUGUAUUAGCUAGUUGGUGAGGUAACGGCUCACCAAGGCGACGAUACAUAGCCGACCUGAGAGGGUGAUCGGCCACACUGGGACUGAGACACGGCCCAGACUCCUACGGGAGGCAGCAGUAGGGAAUCUUCGGCAAUGGACGGAGGUCUGACCGAGCAACGCUGCGUGAGUGAAGAAGGGUUUCGGAUCGUAAAGCUCUGUUGUAAGAGAAGAACGAGUGUGAGAGUGGAAAGUUCACACUGUGACGGUAUCUUACCAGAAAGGGACGGCUAACUACGUG